AUUGCUCGGGAUGUUGAAUCUGAUUAUGAUUUUGAAACUUUGCUACCUUCUUGUGAGAGUAUACAUGGCUCAGAAACAUCAAAAGACAGGAAAAGUUUCAAGGGUAACAAUUAAAGCUCCAAUCAUGAUGGGAAGAAAUCACUAGCAGGGUCUGACAGUGCCCAGUGGGAUGUUUUUCGCAGACAAGAUGUUCCCAAGCUUAUAGAUUAUCUCAAAAGGCAUUCUAAUGAGUUUGCUUGCCACAAGCGGGUUGAUCAUCCAAUUCUCGAUCAGAGUUUCUUUCUUGACACCACUCACAAAAUGAGGCUUAAGGAGGAGUUUGAGAUUGAACCUUGGACUUUGAUGCAACACGUAGGAGAAGUUGUUAUCAUUCCUGCUGGAUGUCCCUACCAGAUUAAGAGCCCUAAGGUCAUUUUUGCAAUAGUAUUGACAGUCUGAAUUAAGAAAGAUAUAUGAAACAUUACUUUUAUUCUCCA